GACAGAGGGUGCAAACGUGUUCGGAAUUACUGGGCGUAAAGCGCGUGUAGGCGGCUGCGCAAGUCGGAUGUGAAAUCCCGUGGCUCAACCACGGAAGUGCACCCGAAACUGCGUAGCUUGAGUCUCGGAGAGGAAGGUGGAAUGCUUGGUGUAGAGGUGAAAUUCGUAGAUAUCAAGCGGAACACCGGUGGCGAAGGCGGCCUGCUGGGCAGUAGCUGACACUGAGGCGCGACAGCGUGGGGAGCAAACAGG
rnacentral:rRNA from 1 species